rnacentral:rRNA from 1 species
UACGAAGGGAGCUAGCGUUGUUCGGAAUCACUGGGCGUAAAGCGCACGUAGGCGGAUGUGUCAGUCAGGGGUGAAAUCCCGGAGCUCAACUUCGGAAUUGCCUCCGAUACUGCCGUGCUUGAGGACUGGAGGGGAGUCUGGAAUUCACAGUGGAGCAGUGAAAUGCGUAGAUAUGCGGAGGAACACCGAUGGCGAAGGCAAUCCCCUGGACCUGUACUGACGCUCAUGCACGAAAGCGUGGGGAGCAAACAGG